CCUGAGCCUUGGAAGUGACGCCUGCCUGUGCAGAUGCCAAGCAUAGAGGAAAAUCAUCUAGAAGUGGGUGAAUAUUGGCUCAUCCAUCAACUCCUUCGGGAGGUGUAGAGAAGGAAUGAAGUUGGAGGAAUUUUAUCUUCUUUUGCCUUAAUGGAGUUGGGGCGUUCAAAUGGCUGGCUGACUUGUAUAGGCACUAAAUAUAGGCUGAGAGGAGCAGCCUAGGAAAACUCAUGUUUAACAGUAUUCGUGCUAAGCUAGUUUAGCACCUACACCAAGGCACUCCUGAUGAAAGUGUUCAUCUUUAAAUCCACAGGGGUGAAUGGUUUGUUUCCUCAGAGUCUGAAACAGCUCUCGCCCAUAGUGUGAUAAUCUGUCCAGAGAGUGUCGCUUAGGGAACCAGAAGGAGGAGGCAGAAGCUUUCUUCAGGAUGGAUAGUUGGUUGAUCCAAAUGUCCCAAAGCAGGAUCCUCCUUUUGGUUAAUUAAGACUUUCACUAACUAAUCAAGCCUAAUAUAGUGUUAUCAGGCUGGUAAUUAAUUAAUCCUAAUACUUGAGACCCAGAGGCAGGACCACUGUCCCUUCUAGGCCAGUCUGGCCUACACAGUCAAACCUCAUAAAACCAACAAACAAGGAAAAAAGAAAGAAUAAAAAAAAAAUUCUCAGUUUGUAGUCAAAGCACAUAGAAAGUUGGGGAUUCCUUGAGUCCAGGAGUUCAAAAUCAGCCUGUGAGACACUCCGAGACCUUAGAAAGUUCAUUUCUGUCUAAGGAAACAGUAUACUUUCUCUUUCCUUCCUUCCUCCCUCCAUUCCUUUUUCUGUUUUUGUUUGAGGUCGGUCCUCACAAGUCGUAGGCUGGCUUUUUUGAAUUCUCUAGUAGACAAGGCUUGGCCUUGAACUCUUGGUCCUCCCGUCUCACACUCUCGAGAACAUUCCUGGGAUGCACCACCACGCCUUGCUGGAACAAGUUAUUCUGUGUUGCACUCUGAAGAAAGCAAGAGUCGCGGAACUUCUAGUAUUUAAAACAUUCAUUCAGAUGACAAGAGGCUGACUCUCCAUGCAAUGAACAGACCUGUCCAGGUUCUAGCUCAAGCUCUAUCCUUCAUUUUGAAGGAAGGCAAAGUCACAGAGAAGGAAGCCACUGUCCUGAGGUCUGUCUCACUGCUUUGCAAGGAUCUCCAGCACGGGCAAGCCUUUAACUUCCUAUGUGAUUGAGGAUAAUCCUGAACUUCUGCCCUUCUUGUCUUUACCUCCCAAGUGUUGGAAUUAUAGGUAUGCCCUCCCAUGCCUAGUUUAUGUGGUGCUGGGAGUCAGUCAAGUCCAGGGCUUCCUACAUGUGAGUCAAGCUUUCUAGCAACUGAGCUACCCCUCCAGCCCCAGUGGAUACUUAUACAGGCUAGAUAGAAGCAGGACAGAAAAAACAGGAAGAGUUAAAAAUGGACUUUAAAAGACAGUGGGGGCCACUUUUAUGUUAAUGACUAUGUGUUGAAUUUUCCAGAUCCCAGGGGUUAAACAGGUGACAUAUGACAUGGAGACUUCAGUCAUCCCACAAAACCGAGUCAGCUGUACACUUAAGGUUACAAUGGCCAAACUGGAUCAAAAAGCUCAUUAAAAACUGAAUAAAGUUUCUUCCUCUUGCCAGGCGGUGGUGGCGCACGCCUUUAAUCCCAGCACU